GAUGAACGCUAGCGGGAGGCUUAAUACAUGCAAGUCGAGGGGUAUCAUUUAGCUUGCUAUUUGAGAGACCGGCGCACGGGUGCGUAACGUGUAUGCAACCUACCUUAAACUGGGGGAUAGCCCGGAGAAAUCCGGAUUAAUACCGCAUAAUACUAUCGGAUAGCAUUUUUUGGUAGUUAAAGAUUUAUUGGUUUAAGAUGGGCAUGCGUCUGAUUAGCUAGUUGGUAAGGUAAUGGCUUACCAAGGCAACGAUCAGUAGCGGGUCUGAGAGGAUGAUCCGCCACACUGGUACUGAGACACGGACCAG
rnacentral:rRNA from 1 species